CUAAUGAUUAAAAUACAAAUACAAUUUUAACUGAUUAAAAGUAAGAGGACCUGUUGGAACACAAAGAGACAGCAGCAGGCUUCAGGAUUCAAGUAGCCAUAAUCAGCUUCAACUUCACAUUAAAAACCUGAAGGGGAAAAUUUCUGCUGGUGGACUCUAAUACAGAGAAGUGGUUACAUGGGAAGUUGGUGACAGAGCUGGGAAUUAUCUCAAGUCCUAAUGUCCAAGCCAGAAAUAAGAGAAGCCAAACUGCCAUUCAUUCCUCAGGUGCAACAGAUCUUUAAAAAUCCAGUUGAAGUUUUCAAAAUGAAACCACUGCAAGAUGAGAAAGAAACACUUUUCUUCAUCCUUUCAGCUUGCUGUUGACGCACCACAACACAGCUCUCCACAAAACUGCAACACUGUCCAUGGCUUUCUUCUUUUUUUUUCUUUUUCCUUUUUUUUUCAUGGUGAGAUCAGAGCUGGUACCAGAGUUGUAAGCACACAUAAGGCACUUGCUGCAAAGGUGCACUAAUCAAGGCUGCUUUCCCUGGUAAAUAACAGCAAGAAAGUUCCUGAUUAAAUCCUUUUAUGU